GAUGAACGCUGACAGAAUGCUUAACACAUGCAAGUCAACUUGAACUUCGGUUUGGGUGGCGGACGGGUGAGUAACGCGUAAAGAACUUGCCUCACAGAUAGGGACAACAUUUGGAAACGAAUGCUAAUACCUGAUAUUAUGAUUUUAGGGCAUCCUAGGUUUAUGAAAGCUAUAUGCGCUGUGAGAGAGCUUUGCGUCCCAUUAGCUAGUUGGAGAGGUAACGGCUCACCAAGGCGAUGAUGGGUAGCCGGCCUGAGAGGGUGAUCGGCCACAAGGGGACUGAGACACGGCCCUUACUCCUACGGGAGGCAGCAGUGGGGAAUAUUGGACAAUGGACCAAGAGUCUGAUCCAGCAAUUCUGUGUGCACGAUGAAGUUUUUCGGAAUGUAAAGUGCUUUCAGUUGGGAAGAAAAAAAUGACGGUACCAACAGAAGAAGUGACGGCUAAAUACGUG
rnacentral:rRNA from 1 species